UAUAUAUAAUUGCACAAUACCUGCAACAAUUGUUGAGGUGUUUUCACCGUUUAUUAUUGUUCUGAUCACAGGGUUUAAUUGCGUUUCUACCCUCUAUAAUUUAUAGACUUGUUUCUACAACAUUUUUCUUCUAAUUUAUAUAAUUGCGUAUGUAUGAAUGUCCUUUUUUUUUUUUUUAAUUAGUUUUCUACCAUUCAAAAGUUUGGCAGAUGAAAUUUCAGUUUCGGUUUAACAGUGGCAUUGCAUUAUCUCAGUAUUAUUGGUUGACCUUUUCUUUGUUUCUGUUUAUAUCAAGGUACUCAGCAUCGUAUCUAAUUUUAGUUUACUCUGUUGACACAGCAUAUGGCUUCGAGAGUUUUGGCCGGUUGGUGCACCGCGAUGGGCCGAUCAUGGUUAGGCACUAUUUGGAUGCUUUGAACUAUGCAUGCGAGCAUCUUUGACAAUGACCCAUCCAAACCUGCUUAGGUCCAUUCAUGGCCUUGAAAAUGAUCAUGUGCACUAUAUAUUUCGACCAAAUGCCAUUGUGUAUGAGUCGUACACAAUGAAAAUCCUACCAUACAUACAAAUCUUAAGAGGAUUGGAUGUAUACUUCUGUCUUUCGGACAAGAUGGAUUUCAUGGUGAAUCAGUCAGACUUGCAAACACUAAGAAAUGUCGGAGUCUUUGUUGCAGGCAAAAACUCUCAAUGUGGUUCAGGUUUUCCUGCCUUCAGAUGUCAAAGAUGAAAUUGACAAGUUAAAUGAAGACUUAAAUACUGCAGGCUGCAGCAGAUAUGCUGAGCCAGAAAACAAGGCGAAGUUCUGGAAAAAUACAGAGAGUCUUCAAUGCAAUACAAUGACAUGCAUUUAUGCUUUUUCUCUUUCUUGUUGGUCUUUUUCUAUCCAUUCUUGGGCACAAACAUGCAACUAUGUAAGAUUUCUCUUGGUUCUAAAUUCUAUUACAUUCCCAUCAUAUUGUUGAUGUUCUCAGAAAUAAUAUAAUGGGAUAUUUCUUCGUAUUUUUAUGUCCGAUUCAACCUCAUACUGAUGCAGAUUCGUCGUUAGUGGAUGGUUACUUGUGGCAGUAACAUUCAUUCUUUUGGAGGAUUUGCUAGUACUCGAGAAUGUCAUUUCCAACACUUGUAUGGCUAUGGGAGAGUAGGUAGAUACUUCUCAGGCAGAGACCACUCUAAGCAGUAUCCUUCCUUGUGUUGACCAAAGAACCACAAACCAGACCCUCACUCAGAGUAAACAAGUCGUCAAUGAUAUUGUAAAUAUCGUCAACCAAUUCAUAUACACCAUUGCCGAUACAAAUCUGUCUUCUCAGGCCAAUAAUCCUAGGUACUACAAUCAAUCUGGUCCAUCGAUGCCACCUCUGUGUUAUCCAUAUGACUGUCAGCUGCAAGUUCACCAGUGUACUUCCUUCGAGGUGCCCAUGGCAAAUGCUUCUCUGGUAUGUGGUGUUGUAUUGUGGAUUUGUUUCUUAUUUAGUUAUUGUUCUUCUAGACGAUGCUCCAAACCAAGGAUGAUCAUGAGCAAGGCUACUGCAAUCAUUUUGGGUCUUCUCUGCUUAACUGAGCCAGCCCUAGCUCUGGGGCUUGUAUGCUCUAGUUAGUUACGUCCACCAAGACAAAAUGUGGAAACUCUUGCCAGGCUCGAACUGACCAAGGCUUCAAAGUAUCUGGUGUUUCGUUACCAAUAAUUUCAUUCCAAUUUGGGCUUUGGUUUUGAACACCAAUUUGAUUUAAAACUACAAGUCGGUGGACAAUGUUAAAUAGCUGUUCUUUUGCUGUUCUUUAACUGCAUCUUCAUCUUGACUUGCAUCAUGCUGGCUCCGUUGUCUUAAAAUACUCAAUACCUGCAGCAAGGUAAGCUUAGUCUCACGUUAAUUGCGAAGUAGAAGUUUACUGAUCUAACAUUCUUUUGGAAUGACGGAC